rnacentral:rRNA from 1 species
UACGUGGGGGGCAAGCGUUGUUCGGAAUUACUGGGCGUAAAGGGCUCGUAGGCGGCCAACUAAGUCGGACGUGAAAUCCCUCGGCUUAACCGGGGAACUGCGUCCGAUACUGGAUGGCUUGAGAUUGGGAGAGGGAUGCGGAAUUCCAGGUGUAGCGGUGAAAUGCGUAGAUAUCUGGAGGAACACCGGUGGCGAAGGCGGCAUCCUGGACCAACACUGACGCUGAUGAGCGAAAGCCAGGGGAGCAAACGGG